UCAUAUAUACAUAUAUAUGUGUAUAUAUAUGAAAUUCAUGCUUCUUAUUAAAAGUUAAAAUAGUUGGUAAGUAACAUAUUCACUGUUAACAGUUUAAACUGCUAGUCAAUGUGUGCAUGCUUAGUUUGUUGUUGCUAUUAUUUUGGGGUUUUGCAAAUGAGAUCAAUAGCAUGUCCUGAUAUCUCUCUGUUCCUGUACAUAUGUAGCUAUAAGGUUUAGUACUAGAAUACUUAGAGAAAGAAAAUCUUAUUUUUUUUUCUUUCUGUGUUUAGGAAUAUUACAGCAAAUGAGUCUUCUUUGGUGGUCCAGCCACACCAGCCCUUAUACUUCACAGCAUAUAAACAUGAAGGCCAGGUGCGGCGGCUUACACCCGUAAUCCCAGCACUUUGGGAAGAGUGAAGUGGAGGAAGAGGUACAUUCAACUACAGAGGAGGAAACUGAGGCCCAGAGGGGAAAAGUGACUUGAUUGACAAAAAUUGGAUUCUGGUCUUUGUUCUGCCAAAGCCACUAAAUCUGUGUUGCUGAGUCUGCUGUUUGCAUGCAGGAAUGUGAAGGACUGCUCAAGUUGGAGAUACAAAUUGAAGCCAGCCCCAGUUCAAAACUGUUACAAAUGGAGUCUGUAGGCAUGAGGGGCUGACUAUAUAACUCAGAGUUCUCCAGUACUUUACUUUAAUAAAGAACACAAUCUUUAUUAAAGGAUAAGUAAUAAAAAUGUGUUGAUGUGCAACUUAUGGAUCUAUUAUUAAAACUCAACAGUCAUUGCAGCAAUGUUUAGAACUUAAGCAAACAAAAGUUUUGUGAGGGGGCAAUUUUAUCAAUGACAUUGUUUAGAAAUGUUGGUAGAUGGUGAUCAUAAAAAGCAGAUCAAUGUUUUAUUUCA
rnacentral:lncRNA from 1 species